rnacentral:rRNA from 1 species
UGGGGAAUCUUGCGCAAUGGGCGAAAGCCUGACGCAGCCAUGCCGCGUGAAUGAUGAAGGUCUUAGGAUUGUAAAAUUCUUUUAGCAGGGACGAUAAUGACGGUACCUGCAGAAAAAGCCCCGGCUAACUUCGUGCCAGCAGCCGCGGUAAUACGAAGGGGGCUAGCGUUGCUCGGAAUUACUGGGCGUAAAGGGAGCGUAGGCGGGUUAUCAAGUUGGAGGUGAAAGCCCAGGGCUCAACCUUGGAAUUGCCUUCAAAACUGAUAGCCUAGAGUAUGGAAGAGGUAAGUGGAACUCCGAGUGUAGAGGUGAAAUUCGUAGAUAUUCGGAAGAACACCAGUGGCGAAGGCGACUUACUGGUCCAUGACUGACGCUGAGGCUCGAAAGCGUGGGGAGCAAACAGGAUUAGAUACCCGCGUAGUCC